rnacentral:rRNA from 1 species
GGCGGCGUGCUUAACACAUGCAAGUCGAACGAUGACUUUUGUGCUUGCACAAAAUGAUUAGUGGCGAACGGGUGAGUAACACGUGAGUAACCUGCCCUUAACUUCGGGAUAAGCCUGGGAAACUGGGUCUAAUACCGGAUACGACGGUCCACCGCAUGGUGGUCCGUGGAAAGCUUGAUGCGGUUUUGGAUGGACUCGCGGCCUAUCAGCUAGUUGGUUGGGGUAAUGGCCCACCAAGGCGACGACGGGUAGCCGGCCUGAGAGGGUGACCGGCCACACUGGGACUGAGACACGGCCCAGACUCCUACGGGAGGCAGCAGUGGGGAAUAUUGCACAAUGGGCGAAAGCCUGAUGCAGCGACGCCGCGUGAGGGACGAAGGCCUUCGGGUUGUAAACCUCUUUCAGCAGGGAAGAAGCGAAAGUGACGGUACCUGCAGAAGAAGCGCCGGCUAACUACGUGCCAGCAGCCGCGGUAAUACGUAGGGCGCAAGCGUUAUCCGGAAUUAUUGGGCGUAAAGAGCUCGUAGGCGGUUUGUCGCGUCUGCUGUGAAAGCCCGGGGCUCAACCCCGGGUCUGCAGUGGGUACGGGCAGACUAGAGUGCAGUAGGGGAGACUGGAAUUCCUGGUGUAGCGGUGAAAUGCGCAGAUAUCAGGAGGAACACCGAUGGCGAAGGCA